rnacentral:rRNA from 1 species
AUUGAACGCUGGCGGCAGGCCUAACACAUGCAAGUCGAACGGUAACAGGAAGCAGCUUGCUGCUUUGCUGACGAGUGGCGGACGGGUGAGUCAUGUCUGGGAAACUGCCUGAUGGAGGGGGAUAACUACUGGAAACGGUAGCUAAUACCGCAUAACGUCGCAAGCCCAAAGAGGGGGACCUUCGGGCCUCUUGCCAUCGGAUGUGCCCAGAUGGGAUUAGCUAGUAGGUGGGGUAACGGCUCACCUAGGCGACGAUCCCUAGCUGGUCUGAGAGGAUGACCAGCCACACUGGAACUGAGACACGGUCCAGACUCCUACGGGAGGCAGCAGUGGGGAAUAUUGCACAAUGGGCGAAAGCCUGAUGCAGCCAUGCCGCGUGUAUGAAGAAGGCCUUCGGGUUGUAAAGUACUGUCAGCGGGGAGGAAGGGAGUAAAGUUAAUACCUUUGCUCAUUGACGGUACCCGAAGAAGAAGCACCGGCUAACUCCGUG